rnacentral:rRNA from 1 species
AACGAACGCUGGCGGCAGGCCUAACACAUGCAAGUCGAGCGAGGACUUCGGUCCUAGCGGCGGACGGGUGAGUAACGCGUGGGAACGUGCCCUUUGCUUCGGAAUAGCCCUGGGAAACUGGGAGUAAUACCGGAUGAGCCCUUUGGGGGAAAGAUUUAUCGGCGAAGGAUCGGCCCGCGUUGGAUUAGGUAGUUGGUGGGGUAAUGGCCUACCAAGCCGACGAUCCAUAGCUGGUUUGAGAGGAUGAUCAGCCACACUGGGACUGAGACACGGCCCAGACUCCUACGGGAGGCAGCAGUGGGGAAUCUUAGACAAUGGGGGAAACCCUGAUCGAGCCAUGCCGCGUGAGCGAUGAAGGCCUUAGGGUUGUAAAGCUCUUUCAGCUGGGAAGAUAAUGACGGUACCAGAAGAAGAAGCCACGGCUAACUCCGUG